GCAUUUUUCAUUUUCCAUCAUCCUUGUAUUUAUAUAAAAAUAUCCCCUUUUCAUAAAAGCUGCAUUUUCGAUAGCUCUUAUGACUGCAGUGUUAAAUCAUCAUGGCAGUUGUUGGCUUUGGGUGUAAAAAGAUGUUGUAUGUAUGCAGUCACUCAAGCACUAACACCCAUGUACCGUUCACCAAUUUGGGCAAGAAGGUAAAUAAGAAUAUCUUUUUCCCCCCUUCACAUAGUCAAAUUAAAAAAUCUGGUGCCUGUUAGAAAGUGAGAUCUAAACUGGAUUUUAUGGAAGGGUUAUCUCUAUCUCUGAUUUUUUGAUAUUCAAAAAAUGUUUUGUGCAUUCAAAGAAAGAAAGGAAAGAAGGAAGGAAGGAAGGAAGGAAGGAAGGAAGGAAGGAGAAGGAAGGAAGACAGUUAAACAAACAAUUCCAAUGUUGCUUAGAAGCAAGCAGCAAUACCUGACCAAUCUGCUAGUGUUCUCAAUUCUUUCCCAUUGCCCACCUCUUCUCAGGAGUGUUGAAGGCAAGUAGCUAGUGGGAGAGAACAGGAAAAUGAGAUUUUCACCCACCACAAACUGGAUGAGGAAAAUGAGGAACAAGUCCACUCAGCUACUAAUUCGUGGAGAACAAGAAUCACGUCCAGUCUGAUUCCAAGAUCUACACUCAUCCUAUCCAUAUUAUGCUGCCUUCUCAGGAUAGCAAGUAGUUUGGCUCCUUAAGUGACACUGGAUAUCUUUUUUAAAGAACCCAUGUGUUUGUUUAUGACAUGACUCAAUCUUGCUGGUGAUCUGGAAGGUCUGGUGCCUACUCAUGGAUUCUUUGAAUAAGCCCCAUGUUCUUGCUACUGAAUAAACAUGAUGUAUACCCCAUGUUAUCAAGAGGAUUCAUAGAUGAACAUGUGCUGGGUGCCUCUAAAGAAAGUAGAUCAACAAGUUUUUUUCUUUUGGUGAAGAGCAGAUGGGCUCAAAAUAAACCUCUGGUUCAUCAUACACGCUCAGACAACCCUCCAGGAAAGGGAGGUUUUUGCCCUCCUUUGCAAGGUCAGUCUCUUUCCAUUUUUUCCCCAAAUCCCCCCUCACCCCCACAGGCACUUCUCUUUUAUAUGUUUAAUUACUUCAUAGCUUUUCNCAGGAAAGGGAGGUUUUUGCCCUCCUUUGCAAGGUCUGUCCUGAGAUGUCAUUGUCCGGGCUUGGGAAGUACAGUCUCUGUCUGCCACACCAGGAAUGCCGUCAGCUUGAGUAUGUUUCUUACGUGCGCAUCACACGCGGUGGUUUGGUCAAUGGCCAGUAUUCCCCUUCCCCUUCCCACCUCCUCAUCAUCCCCACGUCGCCGUGUGUCCCUAGCUGUGUGGAAUCUGGGCCCAGCCUUGAGAACAGCUCUGCCUCUCAGGGGAGAGGCUGAUUGGCUAUGCUCUUCACCCCGAA
rnacentral:lncRNA from 1 species